GACGAAUGCUGGCUGCGUGCUUAACACAUGCAAGUCGAACGGUGAACAGGGGCUUGCCCCUGGGAUCAGUGGCGAACGGGUGAGGAACACGUGGGCAACCUGCCCCUCACUCUGGGAUAACUCCGGGAAACCGGGGCUAAUACCGGCUCACACCUGGAGCGACAUCGCUCUGGGCGUAACGAACUGCGGUGAGGGAUGGGCCCGCGGCCUAGCAGCUUGUUGGUGGGGUAACGGCCAACCAAGGCGACGACGGGUAGCCGGCCUGAGAGGGUGACCGGCCACACUGGGACUGAGACACGGCCCAGACUCCUACGGGAGGCAGCAGUGGGGAAUAUUGCACAAUGGGCGCAAGCCUGACGCAGCAACGCCGCGUGAGGGAUGACGGCCUUCGGGUUGUAAACCUCUUUUAGCAGGGAAGAAGCGAGAGUGACGGUACCUGCAGAAAAAGCGCCGGCUAACUACGUGCCAGCCGCCGCAGUAACAC
rnacentral:rRNA from 1 species